rnacentral:rRNA from 1 species
UACGGAGGGGGCUAGCGUUGUUCGGAAUUACUGGGCGUAAAGCGCGCGUAGGCGGCUUUGUAAGUUAGAGGUGAAAGCCCGGAGCUCAACUCCGGAAUUGCCUUUAAGACUACAUCGCUAGAAUCGUGGAGAGGUGAGUGGAAUUCCGAGUGUAGAGGUGAAAUUCGUAGAUAUUCGGAAGAACACCAGUGGCGAAGGCGACUCACUGGACACGUAUUGACGCUGAGGUGCGAAAGCGUGGGGAGCAAACAGG